CUAUCUUGGUGGCGCACUUGGACAAGUUCUUGGUGGGCUAACGUGUACUUCUAAUUUAUAGAAUUAUUGUUACAAAAGCCCGCUGAUAUAGCGGGCUUUUUUGU
rfam:Vibrio nereis strain DSM 19584 contig0007, whole genome shotgun sequence.